rnacentral:lncRNA from 1 species
AAUUGGUCAUGAUUUUGGGUAUAGGCCCUUUAGAUCUUGUCUGAUAAUUGUAUGGUGCCAGUAUGCUCUAACAAACCCACUGAUAGAAUUUAGAAAAAUAACAAACUUGUCAGCGUGAGAAUGUUAACAAAUAUUGCAAUUGCACGUUGGGGAAUGUAAUUCUCUUAGGCAGUUAACUAUUUCUAGCAUGUUUUCGCUCCAACCGUAUGCAUCAUCCUGGCUUAUUUAUGAUUCCCUCCUUUCUUUAAUAAAAAACGCGGUAUUGUAAACACGACCUGUCAGCGCCUCGGGUACGAAAUUAUAAGGCUAUGUGGGUCAACUGGCCAAAAUCUAAAAAUGACCCAAAGGUGGCUGUUAAUACAAAAUCAGCCUUCCGGCGUCCCUUUCAGGAACAUUUGGCUAUUUUGACAAAAGGGCGUCACCUAACCUAUUUAUGACGAAAAUUAAAAUUUUAUAACACUUUUUUUGGAUAUAUUUUGCAACGGGGAGAUUGGACUCGAUGAGUGUUGCCUACGUAUCUCACACCAUGUGAGAAUCAAACCAGUGUAGUUCGGGCAAAUUAAUUUUAUAAAAUAAGACCCUUCUUUUUUUUUCUUCAACAAAGUCCUUCUUUUUUUUGCUUUUGGUAAAACAAACUUAAAAAAGUUCUCUUUUUUUUUCAAAAUUUCGGUAAAGUUUUGGCAGCAUUUGGGCAUUGAUUUUUCUAAAAAUAGGCCAUUAAUUCUCUACACUGUCACUCUCUCCCCUUUUUUUCGAAUACUCGAAAGCCGGUCAGCAUGCAAGUCCGAGACAAAUAAAUGCACGGAAACAAAUAGGAUGCAACAUGAUAGUCUUUUCAUUUCAGGUUGCUAGCCCUAGACGGACCCAACCCUGUGUUGAGUACCCUAAGUCAAAUGCAACAUGAUGCAAAUAAGCAUUCCUAUUAGCAAUCCGGCAUGAAGUCACGUUUUUUUCCAAGUUUUCAAAUUCUAAAGAAGAUGGCAUCUAGACCUGGCUUACUCGGGUCGACAACCCGAGCCGAUGAGGGUUAAGCAUCACCAGUAGUAGAACAACAUUGAAUACUAACGGUUCUCCCGCCUAAACAUGUGUGAUUACAUCCUUCAUCAGAAGCUGGUAGGCUAACUGGCUUUGUCUCAAGGCAGAAAUUUUGUGAUGUUGGUAGGCAAACACAACACAACUACCUAUUAGAAGACUCAGAGGGAAGACGGGUUUCGGCACAAUUUAUAUAUAGUUCACAUAAUAGCAAAGAGGUAAAAGCAUUCAACUAGUACAUUAAGCACAUAUCAUGUAACAAAAUCAGAUAAAGUCAAACGCAACAAUUAUUUUAAGCUCAAAUUCUGAACCCUAAACAAGACGUUCUGGGUUGCCUAUCCCCAGCAGAGUCGCGAGAGCUCUCGCACCUCCUUUUUCUGCCCCGCGGGGGCGCAUGGGAGUUUUUCCAAUUAAAGGACAAUCGGAACGGGAUUGGGGCUCAAAUUCUGAACCCUGACCAAACGUUAUGGGUUCCUGAUCCCCAGCAGAGUCGCCAGAGCUGUCACACCACCUUUUUCGGGCGCCCGCGAGGGCCCAAGGGAGUCUUUCCAAUUACAAAAAAAUCAAAACGAGAAUUGUUUAUUUAAUUCAGAGUCCCCACUUGGGAGAUUUAUGGUGUCCCAAGUCACCGGUUUAAUCCCGAAUCGAGGAAAAUAUUAACUAUGUUUAACAGUACGCGAACUAGAAAUCUGAAUAAGGAAUUCUACUAGCCCGGGAGAAGGUGUUAGGCAUUCCCGAGUUCCGUGAUUCUAACACGGUCGCACAAUUGUUGUAUUCGGCUUAAUUAUCUGAUUUUUACAAUUAUGAUCUUAAAAGCAAAUUAUUAACUCUUGAACCGCUUCUUUUAUUAUUAUUGUCAUUAUUUUUACAGAGAAUUGCAACAUUGUGAAAAAAUAUCUCAGACCACGUCACAGCCAGUAUACCCGUGGUCAUCGGCACAUUUACACUCUAUCGAGAUUUGGAUUUGGGUCGCAUAAAUGAACACCCGAGUUGAAGAAGAUAAGAUUAAUUAAGGCAUGUCCUAAGAAGACUAACGUGUCGUUAUUUUUGGAAAAGACCACGAACAUUCGCUAAGUGACCAACUCCGAAAUCAAUCCAAUUGUUAUGUAUUUAUUGAGGUCCCCGCAAUUUGUAAUUUACUCUGGCGAGGCACGCCUCCUUUAUUUUAAGGAUGUCAUAAAGUGACUACAUUUCUGUUUUAUUUUUGUCUCUAAAAGAAAUGAAAAUCCUAAUUAAUUUGCCAUCGGCCUAAUACAAAUCAAGCAACAGUUUUGACAACAAAAUAUGCCAUUAGGCUCAAAAAUAAGCUCGAGCAGCAAAACGGCGGAACGGACCGCAUGGGCGAGGUUGGGGAACGAAUCCCAUCGACUGCACGAUGCAACAUCCGUAAGAGGCCAAUUAAUCCCAUAUCAUGCCAAACUAUUUUUAUUCCUCUACAUAUUAAUUAAUGAUUCCUACAUACUCUAAAAGAUGAUAAUCAGCUUGGAAACCAUGAUAAGAAUCUAACAACAAUGGUAAUUACUUGCUUGCCUUAUUUUUCUUAACACAUGGACAUGGAUGGAUUAAUGACCCCAAACUCAAGAGGUAACUAUUUUAGACUAGUUUGAAUUAAUGUUAAUGACUCCAACUCAAGCCAACUACUUCAGACUAACUUGAAACUAAUAUUGUUCACUCAAGUGACUUGUGAUUCCAAAUUUGCGUUUACUAAAACUGUUUAUUUCUUAAUAUAAUAAGAGCAUGCAUACUGAUCAUUGGUUGUAUUUCCGAUUGUAACAAACAACUAUCAUAUGGAUUCGAAUUUACACUGCCCUAUGACAGAAGCUAACAAAACAGAUCUACUAACUACAGGACUCACGAUGUCCUAAUAGAACUAAAACUGUUUAUUUCUUUUGAAUUAAUGUUAAUGACUCCAACUCAAGCCAACUACUUCAGACUAACUUGAAACUAAUAUUGUUCACUCAAGUGACUUGUGAUUCCAAAUUUGCGUUUACUAAAACUGUUUAUUUCUUAAUAUAAUAAGAGCAUGCAUACUGAUCAUUGGUUGUAUUUCCGAUUGUAACAAACAACUAUCAUAUGGAUUCGAAUUUACACUGCCCUAUGACAGAAGCUAACAAAACAGAUCUACUAACUACAGGACUCACGAUGUCCUAAUAGAACUGCUGAAGGGCACACUGAGACUAAAAACCAUUCAAGCCUAUUUUAUAACUACUCAAACUAACUACCAAAACUUAAACCAUCUUAUUACCCAUUUUUAACAACAAAACUAAAUCAAGCAUUCAACUCAUAACACAAAUUCAAAAAUAAUCACUACACAAUCCAUUUAUUACUCAUUGAGAAUUAUUUCAUUCACUGAAAUCCAACUACAGUUAUUAUACAGACACAAUUAAACUAUCAGAAGCUCAAAAAAGGUUGAUAUCUAUUAACAGAAGCCCAGUUUCAUUUUUCUUCAAUUGACUACCACAUGUUGACUGUUUGAGUCUAUCAUACAUCAACUGGAGCCGAAGAAAUACCUGGAUAAGGAGAAGGAGUGAUCACCAACAGCAGAUAACAGGCGGCAACAUCUUGGAUUCAAAACAGCUCAAAAAUCAGUUUCAAAACUAGAAUAAACUCGACCCCCAGCACAGAAAUAGUUGCAGAAAACCCAGGAAACUAAUGGAAUAGCACUUGAAAAUCAAUAGAGGACCCAAUAACAGAUUCCACAACCCAAGAAGGAAAUCAAACUCAAUGAAACAAUGUUCCACCAGUACAAAACCCAGGAAAUAACCAAUUGAAACUCAACAAUACUAAAUGCAAUCUUUAAGUUAUGAAAUUUUUUGAUGUCAAACUUCAGUCAACUUAAACUUUAAAUUCUGAAUUUUA